AUUGAACGCUGGCGGCAUGCCUUACACAUGCAAGUCGAACGGUAACGGGCCUUCGGGUGCCGACGAGUGGCGAACGGGUGAGUAAUGCAUCGGAACGUACCUUUCAGUGGGGGAUAACGUAGCGAAAGUUACGCUAAUACCGCAUAUUCUGUGAGCAGGAAAGCAGGGGAUCGCAAGACCUUGCGCUGAUUGAGCGGCCGAUGUCAGAUUAGCUAGUUGGCGAGGUAAAGGCUCACCAAGGCGACGAUCUGUAGCGGGUCUGAGAGGAUGAUCAGCCACACUGGAACUGAGACACGGUCCAGACUCCUACGGGAGGCAGCAGUGGGGAAUUUUGGACAAUGGGGGCAACCCUGAUCCAGCCAUGCCGCGUGAGUGAAGAAGGCCUUCGGGUUGUAAAGCUCUUUCGGUCGGGAAGAAAUCGCAUGGGUUAAUACCCUGUGCGGAUGACGGUACCGGCAUAAGAAGCACCGGCUAACUACGUGCCAGCAGCCGCCGUAA
rnacentral:rRNA from 1 species